GGGGUCAUCAGUAAGGCACUCAAUCACCUUAAUAUCCUGUGACACCCCUUAUAAGGCUGCUGUUAUGUUCUGGUGGUUGUCAGGAAUAAAUGUACAACAUUGCGUCUCUACAAGGGCACAGCUGCCACAUUGGGCAGCUCUGACCAUGUCUAAGGCCAUCCGGUUUUGCAGAACCAACUUCCUGAUCUGAUUGACUUCAUCAGUUAACAAAAAGGAGAGCAACUCGGGUGUAAUUCAGGGCCCAAACUGUGUGCUCUGCAAGGGCUGUAACUUGCAUUUCUACAGUAGCGACACCUGCUCUAGGGAUAGUUAUCGCUUAGGGGUAGAGUCACUAGGGGGCUUGCUGAACUCGUAAAAACCAGGAACAUAGCACCUUCCAGUUAGGUGGAUGACUAGGCAAUGUGGGAAACACAGUGGCAGGCACAGAAAGCCACCCCCAGGUACAACGUCCAGUCCAAUUGGCUGGUAGAUAUGGCCAUCCUGUGUCCCCACAGACCCAUAAACUCCCUGGGGGCAUAAAGUCCAUGAAGGUCCAGCCUUGGUAAGGCAACUUAUUCCACCACACCCUUGGUUUCGCGGCAUGUGUUAUGUUUGCACAAACCUCAGCAAUAAUCCCUCAGUGACUUUACCCCAGUGCUCCCCUAUACAUCAUGGUACCUGCAAUGGGGGCACCACAUGUUUUCCCGUUAGCCAGCCCCAUCCAUCAUGGACACUAUAAGUCAGCCAGUGGCAGGCUUGCCAUGGGUUUUGGGACGUCCCCCUAUCCAAAGCCCACCAUUGCAUUGUCUAUUGAACACCAAGUCUCUAGCCAUGUCCAGUUCUGCACAGAAGCUGGAUGCACGUUCCAGGGCAAGCUGCCUGCAGCUGCUGCUGAAAGGGUGGUGCAGAUACAACAGUUGAAGACAUUGGUCACCUCAGUGUAGGUGUGGGCCCAGAACAUGAUGCUGUUGGAGCAUGCCACCUAUGGCUGGAAUGACAAAGCAAGCACAGGUACUAACAGGGGUAAAUCAUGUCCCUCAGGCAAAAUACAGGCCAACUUUUCACCUCUCGAUAACAGUGCAGCCACCAAGGGCAUUUGCCCUGGGUGAUGAUACCACACCUUAUCAGCUCCCUGUGGUCCUUUUGGGUGCUGUACCCAUGCCAAACACACAGGGGAGCUUAUGCUAAGCCACACAGACAGUACACAUGCCCUCUGGAGGAGAGUCUCUUCCCUGGCCGUUCCCCUAUGCAUGGUUAAUUGUGGAGGCCACACAUUAAAUACCCAAGGAGUAACAUGUAAGUUAUACUGCAGCCCCUCCCCCCAGGGGGCUAUGAUAGCCAACCAUCUGCAAUGAGGUGCUUGGAGGGUCCAUGGCUAACACCAGGUUUUUCUGUUCCCCUGCCUUUAGGGGUACUGGGGCAGGCAAUAACAGAUUACUGUUCAACCCUGUACCUGGUUGGAGAAGGUUGUUCUUCCUCUCAUAGAUCUGGCCACAUGGCCUGGCCCUACAUGGGUCGAUGACUAACUAGCUAAUUCUGUAACUUCUAGGUAAUUAACCACAAAGUUAAGCCUUGAUAAAUUGCCUAGCUACUAGUACAGAUUACCACAGGUGUCAUCUCCUUGGUGAUCACAGUCCAUAUUGCCUUGAGUUCAACUUAUUAGCUACUUUAUUUACACCUGGUUUUAAACCAUAUUGUGUCAGUACUAGGCUGGACUGUAGCAGCAAUCCAGGCAGCAGCAGUACUCUGGCUAUACCUACCUGUAUACUAUGCCUCAUUAGGAAUGGGAGGAUGCCCUUCCUUAUGGUAAAGGCUCAGGGUCUAGAGGUGCCUCAGACCCCAUGACUUUAUCUUGCAUUAGGACUAUAGGCUUCAAGACCUAUUGUAAUUUUACUCCUAAGAGACCAGUACUCAGUGUACUCUGCUGCUCUAAGUAGGUGCCCCACUUCGCUAAAGUGGAUGUCUGUGCCUUCCCUAUCCAGGGGGUUGUUUCCCAUGAAUGCCCAAUCUCACAAUUACUAACUGCUUCUCUAUCAAGGAAUACUGGGGCUCAGCUCCCUUCCACAGCUGGGAACAAAAGCCUAUUGGCAUACUCAGGUGCUCUAUGCACUGCUAUAGGCCCUAACUGAAACUCUGUUGUCACAGGCACAUCUAGUUUAAAUGGGCACCUCUGGUCCACUACCCGUAUGGCUUGUGCCUGCUAAAUAGCCCGCUAGGCUACCAGAAAGACUGUCUCAGGAGCAUCAUCCCAAUCCCAGGCAAGAAGAACAUUGCCACUUCUAAAUCUGCAGGAGAAUCAGAGGUUAACAUGACAUCAUUAAUAAAAUAAUGACACGUGGUGGGGCUAUGAAUAUAGCCCUGCAGCAACACUGUGAAAGUCCAUUGUCACCCUCCCAUGAAAGCAAACUGUUCCUGCCUCUCUGGAACAAUGUCGACUGAGAGGAAUGCAUUGGUCAAUUCCACCACAUAGUGGCAUUGUCUCAGUUCUGUUGUCAAGAAGUUCAUCAAAUCCAUGAUAGAAGGUACAGAUACAUGCAGAAGGAGUAUUACUUUAUUCAGUUUCCGAUAAUCCACUGUUAUCUGCCAAAUCCCAUCAGGCUUUCUGACUGGCCAUAAUGGAAAAUGGUAGGGGCUAUGGAUGCCACACACUAUUUGCACCUCCUCUAACUUCUUAAUAGUCUCAGUUACCUCUGUAUUCCCCCCUGGCAAACGGUACUGAUGAGUGGAAGUAACCUGUCAGGGUUGUGGCAGAACUUGGGGCUGGUGAUGUGUAUGUUCACCCAGUACUGGCUUUACUGCAUGGACUCAGAAUCUGGAUUCUCUGGCCGUGGUGUGCAAGCCCAGACCAUGCAAAAUGUCCACCCCCAGAAUAUAUUCAGGUAUAGGAGAAACAUACACAGUGUACAGGUGGGGAGCCAAGCGGCCAAUGCCAAGAUGCAGAGACACAGGCUUCACCUUCACCGACUGGCUCCCAUAACCGUCCAUAAAUGCAGCUUUGCCUAGAAAUUUAUCUGGGUUCCCAUAAACUAGACUGCAGUCUGCACCAGUAUCUAUCAGUGCUAGGACCCGCGGUACAUUAGUGGGGGACCAGUGGAUUGCCAGCUCCACAUAUAGCCUCUGGUUGUCUAGUUCCCCCUGCCAAGCUGGCGACCUCGGCCAGUUCCCUAAUCAAACAAGAAAGGCUCUGUAUCUCUGCCUGUCUGCAAAUAGUCCUUGAGUUGCAGCGUCUGGGAGGGAUUAGGUUGAACAACAUUGUUUUGCCCCCCACACCUUAGGCAUUUUCUGGAAUUGCUGCUCCCGGGACAAUUGCCUUCACAGAGUCAACAACAUUCCAUUGGGUUGCCCGUCAAUUUUCUCCCGAGCAACCCCAGCUGCAAGUAAAUCAAUCCACAUCUGCAUGCAGGUCACCUCCUGGAGCCCCUUUUUAUCUGGUGGGGUGGUUAACUGCGGAUGAGGCAUUUUCUCCCUCCUUACGGUGCGGAUUCUCCGGUCCUGCGAAUGGCCUUCUGCCUCCCUGAGGGCUGCCAGAGCAGUAGUCACUUCAUGUAUGCGGCACCCCACAUACUGGGUGAGAACAGCGGCUAGAAAGCCAUAAGGGUUCGGGGUGCUGAACUCAGCACAAGAUCCCUCAUGUGGGAGGUAAAGCGUUCAUCAUCUGGCCCCAUGGUAAUCAGACCAAACAUAGCCUGCCGCAUACCUAUCUCCAAGAGUAUCUGCACCAAAUUAGUAUGUGAUUGCCAUUUACUCACAGUUUGUAGUAUCUCUCUGGCAUCAUUGAAAACAGUCCAUAUGACUGUCAUUAGCCACUUGAUUAAUGUGUGGCCACCUUGCUCUUGUGCCAACCGUUGGCACAGCUGCAGCUGCUGACGAAGGGAGGGGUGAGUUGUGAUAGAAGUCAGCUUCUCCAUCUCAGAGGCGGAACAAAAAAUGCUAUCAGCUCCCUCAGACGCUGCCGGCACUAUUUACCUAAUUCCCACAACUCACUGGGGUUAUAAGCAUAAUAAGAGGCGUGUUCCACCACUGUGGACGGGGUCCCUGGGCUUUCCCCUAGGGUCCCAUCAGCUGCUUAUGUUCUACCUUCUGACGGAUCACAGGAGGAGCCUGCAGCGGAGGAGCCUCCUCCUCCUCAGCAUCAGACCUAAAGGGAGUGUCCUGCCUGAAGGACCGGCUCAAGGUCGCACUAACAGCUCUUGCUAACUCCUGUUCCAGGCUGUUUAUCUGGGCCUCCAAGUACCCUGCUUGCGCCUGGAGGUCUCUCACCCCCAGGUCCUGCUCAAAGCUGUGCACUUGGGCCCCCAGGCAUGCGGCUUGCUCCGGAAGGUCCCUUACCUGUGGCACUGAGCAUGUACUUCCUGCAGUGCAGUUAGAAAUGCCCAUCCGACUCUGCUUGCAAAGACAUCUGCAAUGGCAGUUCACAUGGCUCAGAUAGCUCACUUCUGCAGAGAGCUGAAUUUAAGUGGGACAGGGUAGCAAGAAUAAUUACUUUGACAAUCAUUUUGCCACCUGAUGACUGUGCUGCCUGUCCUGAGCUGAGUGCAGAGAGGGAGACACCCUUACAAAUGGAGAUUUGCUGGAUAGAAAUGUGGCCAAAGAGUUCAAUAAAAGGUUCCUUUAUUUAUAGGCACAGCUGCUUAAAGACUGUUACCGGAAAGGAAUCCUGAUCCAGACGCCAAGAGAGGGUUCUUGGACUCAUGCAAGAAAGACUUCAGCUGGCUGCAGAUGACAGUGACACCCUGGGAGUUGAGAAAUGCUUGUAAGAUGGAAGGAGGCUGUGUCCCUGAAUGAUCACCUGGAAGAGAGCCACCUUAGCCAAUGAAACUCCUGCUAUGAAUGUUUGCUGAGCAAGAAAUAUACUUACUGCUUUAUAUGCCUUUGAAGCUAUAGGUUCAUAUUGUUACCACAAUUUAAAGUGCUAUAAUAAAAAGAGUUCAGGAAGCAGGCACAUGGAAGCAAUAAGAGCAACAAACAUUUACACAGUUCUCAGGUCCCUGGACCAUGAAGGGCCACAUCCAAGGAGCUACCCCAGGAGGCCUCUCAUUUGCAUUUGUCCCCGCUAAUGCAGGACAGAGAUCAUGGAAGUUGGGCCCGACUGGAUGAGAUUUGGGGGUCUUUGGAAGUGGAGAAUGUGUUUGCCCUGGGGAAGAGAGGUGAUGUCUAGGAGACCUCUUCACUCAGGGCAAGCUCUAUGACCUGCUUUGACUCCAGAAUGUGGUAGAAGUGGCAUCACAUAAAUUGCAGAGCCUAGGCUUCAAGAGACCUUGCAACUUGCCUCUCACUGACUUGAAGUGCUCCCAUCAGAGCAUCUUGUAAGGAGCAGGUGGAGCAUGUGGACAAGCCAUCCCCACCAGCCCCUGAGACAUGUGAGAGAGGCCAGAACAGGCCAUCCGGACCCCACUGUGCUGGUGGAUGAGACAGCAGAAGGAAUAUCAACCUACCAACAGAAUCCUGAGAAAUGCUCACUCUUACUUCAAGCUGCUGCAUUUUGAUGUUAUGAAACCAUAAAUAACUUAUGAAGUCAUCUUUGCUGACUUAAAGUUUUCCAUAACUUUAUUAUAACAUAUCAAAAUUAUGAAAAAUGUGAAAAGUAGAAAACUGAUGAAUUUUGCUUCUUCAUAUGGUCUUUAAGAAUCUCAAAGGCACUGAAGUUUUUUAUCUUUUCUGUCUUAGAAUAAAAAACCUUGAAUGAAAAUCUGCUUCUUGGAAAAGCAGCAAGGUUUAUGCAGAGGCAAUCUGGUAUUUGUGUGCACUGGCAGCUGAUCAUACCCAGCAUGCACGCACUCUCAGGGCAGAGUCUGAUGCCCCACAUAAUGGGGCAUGGUAAGGACUCCCAUGUCCUUGAGAUAAAAUGAUAAGGAAAAUACACACUGCUAUUAGAAUAACAGGCCCAGCUUCUGCACAUUUUAAUUCCCAAAGUUUUCAUGAAAGACAAUGAUUUUUUGGUACCAUGUUUAACUCUACAAGAAUCAGUAGUGAAAACUAAAAAUGAUACUUUGUGAAAGUUCAUUAAUUUUGUUUUCAGCCAGUGGUGGCCUUGGUCAGAUAGAAUCAAAUCUAUGAUACUUUUUAUCAGAAAUGCUUAUACUGUGUACAAACCCAAAGUGAUGGCUUUCAAAGAUUGAAUUUGAUUAUUUUCUGUAUGGUGCAGAUGAAAAAUUACUACACAGGAGAAGGUGGGUUGGAGGUGCUCACGAGUAACCAGGAAACAGUCUGAAGUUUUUCUGAUACUUCUCCUUGGUCCAACCAAAUGUGAGAUAUAAACACAAACUUGGGAUUCCGUUCUUAUGUUUUGGUUGUUUCAGUCUUUACAGAUGUAUCGAAAGGCUGUCCAAAAAUGUCUGACUUCUGUAGUGUGCCUUCGUAGCACUAGAGGGUUCUGCAGCUGUGAAACUGAAGGCAUUGGCAAGAAGCCCUCCAUCUUCAAACCACUUUCUGCUAAGGUGUGGCUCUAUAAAACCACUAUGAGCUGGGCUUCACUGAGACUGAGUUGUUUCAGUAGGAUCUUCCGGAAAAACAUGUUCCCUCCUUUACCUGGGUUGUCAUUCUGAGAACAAUCACACCUCCAAUUUUGGCUUACUAAGCAAUAGCGUUUUAAUGAUUUUAAGCCAGGAUUUGCUCCUCCUUUCCUCAGUAUGAGAGCUUAACCACUGGAGGAACCAAGAAUUCAUGCUGGUUGGGUUCUGAUUCCACUUUAACUUACUGUAUAGCCUCAUCCCUUGUUUUUCUGGAGAUUCUCUUUUUCUGCUUCACUGAUUUAUAUUUACAUUAAAAUCAAAUGAGGCCAUGUUUCUGAAAUCACAUUGUCCCUACAUGGUCAUUACAAUGAGUCUGUAAUGUGACUGAAAGACAGCCAUGGAUACAGGUAGAGGAUAUCAGGCAAUUGAAUGCUCAUCAAGCAUUCAAUUCAGGGCAAAUGGCAUAAGGUAUGCAGUUGGCCUCUUCUGAUAUCUGUGUCUUAAUCCUUUCUUUAGCCUCUGUUUUCUGGACCAAGGCUAAGAUAUUUUCUGGGCACAGUGGCUCAUGCCUAUAAUCCCAGCACUCUGGGAGGCCAAGGUGGGAGGAUUUCUUCAGCCC
rnacentral:lncRNA from 1 species